ACUCAAAUGAAUUGACGGGGGCCCGCACAAGCAGUGGAGUAUGUGGUUUAAUUCGAAGCAACGCGAAGAACCUUACCAGGGCUUGACAUCCCUCGAAUUAGGUAGAAAUACCUAAGUCCUUCGGGACGAGGAGACAGGUGGUGCAUGGUUGUCGUCAGCUCGUGUCGUGAGAUGUUGGGUUAAGUCCCGCAACGAGCGCAACCCCUGUUGUUAGUUGCCAGCAAGUAAAGUUGGGCACUCUAGCGAGACUGCCGGUGAUAAAUCGGAGGAAGGUGGGGACGACGUCAAAUCAUCAUGCCCCUUAUGUCCUGGGCUACACACGUACUACAAUGGUUACAACAACGGGAAGCUAAGCCGCAAGGUGGAGCAAAUCCCCAAAAGUAACCUCAGUUCGGAUUGUGGGCUGAAACUCGCCCACAUGAAGUCGGAAUUGCUAGUAAUGGCAGGUCAGCAUACUGCCGUGAAUACGUUCCCGGGCCUUGUACACACCGCCCGU
rnacentral:rRNA from 1 species